UGGGGAAUAUUGCACAAUGGGGGAAACCCUGAUGCAGCGACGCCGCGUGAACGAAGAAGGUAUUCGUAUCGUAAAGUUCUGUCCUAUGGGAUGAUAAUGACAGUACCAUAGAAGAAAGCUCCGGCUAAAUACGUGCCAGCAGCCGCGGUAAUACGUAUGGAGCGAGCGUUGUCCGGAAUUAUUGGGCGUAAAGGGUACGCAGGCGGUUUAAUAAGUCGAAUGUUAAAGAUCGGGGCUCAACCCCGUAAAGCAUUGGAAACUGAUAAACUUGAGUAGUGGAGAGGAAAGUGGAAUUCCUAGUGUAGUGGUGAAAUACGUAGAUAUUAGGAGGAAUACCAGUAGCGAAGGCGACGUUCUGGACACAAACUGACGCUGAGGUACGAAAGCGUGGGGAGCAAACAGG
rnacentral:rRNA from 1 species